GGUCUCAGGGAACGUGUCGUUCAGAUCGUCGAUGGUCAUCUGGUCGAAGGGAAUCAUGUUCUGGAACUUCUCCAGCUGGAAGAGAGGAAGGUGGAUCAACAGAGAGAAGAGAACUACAUGUCUCUAAAUAGUGGAAGAGAGGAAGGUGGAUCAACAGAGAGAAGAGAACUACAUGUCUCUAAAUAGUGGAAGAGAGGAAGGUGGAUCAACAGAGAGAACUACAUGUCUCUAAAUACUCUAAAUAGUGGAAGAGAGGAAGGUGGAUCAACAGAGAGAACUACAUGUCUCUAAAUAGUGGAAGAGAGGAAGGUGGAUCAACAGAGAGAACUACAUGUCUCUAAAUAGUGGAAGAAAGGGAGGUGGAUGAACAGAGAACUACAUGUCUCUAAAUAGUGGAAGAGAGGAAGGUGGAUCAACAGAGAGAACUACAUGUCUCUAAAUAGUGGAAGAGAGGAAGGUGGAUCAACAGAGAGAACUACAUGUCUCUAAAUAGUGGAAGAGAGGAAGGUGGAUCAACAGAGAGAAGAGAACUACAUGUCUCUAAAUAGUGGAAGAGAGGAAGGUGGAUCAACAGAGAGAAGAGAACUACAUGUCUCUAAAUAGUGGAAGAGAGGAAGGUGGAUCAACAGAGAGAAGAGAACUACAUGUCUCUAAAUAGUGGAAGAGAGGAAGGUGGAUCAACAGAGAGAAGAGAACUACAUGUCUCUAAAUAGUGGAAGAGAGGAAGGUGGAUCAACAGAGAGAAGAGAACUACAUGUCUCUAAAUAGUGGAAGAGAGGAAGGUGGAUCAACAGAGAGAAGAGAACUACAUGUCUCUAAAUAGUGGAAGAGAGGAAGGUGGAUCAACAGAGAGAAGAGAACUACAUGUCUCUAAAUAGUGGAAGAGAGGAAGGUGGAUCAACAGAGAGAAGAGAACUACAUGUCUCUAAAUAGUGGAAGAGAGGAAGGUGGAUCAACAGAGAGAAC